rnacentral:lncRNA from 1 species
AACAGCCCAGCAGUUCACUGAGACUGUCCUGCAAAGCCUCUGGUUUCGGGUUUACUGGGUGCAGCAUGAGCUUGGUCCAGCACACUUCACAACAGGAAUUGGUGUGGGUAGCAACAGUGAGAGAUCAUAUGGGAGUUCUAAGGGUUACUCUCCAUGAGUACAGAUAAAUCAACAUUCCCAAGUGACACCCUUUCAAGUGCAGUCUACCUUACAAGGACCAACCUGAAAGCCAAGGGCAAGGCCGUAUAUU